AUUGAACGCUGGCGGCAGGCUUAACACAUGCAAGUCGAGCGGAGUGAUGGUGCUUGCACUAUCACUUAGCGGCGGACGGGUGAGUAAUGCUUAGGAAUCUGCCUAUUAGUGGGGGACAACAUCUCGAAAGGGAUGCUAAUACCGCAUACGUCCUACGGGAGAAAGCAGGGGAUCACUUGUGACCUUGCGCUAAUAGAUGAGCCUAAGUCGGAUUAGCUAGUUGGUGGGGUAAAGGCCUACCAAGGCGACGAACUGAGGCGGGUCUGAGAGGAGGUACUGCCACACUGGGACUGAGGAACGGCCCAGACUCCUACGGGAGGCAGCAGUGGGGAAUAUUGGACAAUGGGGGGACCCUGAUCCAGCCAUGCCGCGUGUGUGAAGAAGGCCUUAUGGUUGUAAAGCACUUUAAGCGAGGAGGAGGCUUACCUAGUUAAUACCUGGGAUAAGUGGACGUUACUCGCAGAAUAAGCACCGGCUAACUCUGUGCCAGCCGCCGCGGUAA
rnacentral:rRNA from 1 species